rnacentral:rRNA from 1 species
GUGCCAGCAGCCGCGGUAAUACGAAGGGGGCUAGCGUUGUUCGGAAUUACUGGGCGUAAAGCGUGCGCAGGCGGCUUCUCAAGUCAGGGGUGAAAGCCCAGAGCUCAACUCUGGAAUUGCCUUUGAGACUGAGUGGCUUGAGUACGAGAGAGGUGAGUGGAAUUCCCAGUGUAGAGGUGAAAUUCGUAGAUAUUGGGAAGAACACCGGUGGCGAAGGCGGCUCACUGGCUCGUAACUGACGCUCAUGCACGACAGCGUGGGGAUCAAACAGGAUUAGAAACCCCAGUAGUCC